rnacentral:rRNA from 1 species
UACGUAGGGACCGAGCGUUGUCCGGAAUCAUUGGGCGGAAAGAGCGUGUAGGCGGCCAACUAAGUCCUGCGUGAAAUCUCGGGGCUCAACCCCGAGCGGUCGUGGGAAACUGGUUGGCUAGAGUGCGGGAGAGGAGAGUGGAAUUCCUGGUGUAGCGGUGAAAUGCGCAGAUAUCAGGAAGAACACCCGUGGCGAAGGCGGCUCUCUGGAACGCAACUGACGCUGAGACGCGAAAGCGUAGGGAGCAAACAGG